CUCACCUGCCAAAGAAAAUCUGCAGUCUCGCCAAAAAAGGUGACUACUGGGAUCCAUUCCAACUCUAGCUUCCUGGGUCUACAAGAAAACCACUUAGGAUGCCAUAGUAACAGUAAUGGACUUUAUACAGAUAGGAAAGUUUACAAAACAUCUUCUCAACAUCAUCCCUUUCGUUCACCAAGUAGUGAAGAUAAUAUUAGAAUGGAAGUAAUGAAGUAAAGUUGAAGUAACACAGUCUGUGUUGGAGCCAGAAUUUUAACCUAAAGCUCGUCUCCCCAGGCCUGGUAACUCUUCAGCUCUAUUCGGCCGCCUUUCACUGGACCAUGGACUCAACACGGGGAAUUUCAGGCAUUCUGUGAACUUCUCCGGAAGAAAUAGAUCUCCUUCUUUUCACUAAUCACUUUCAGAAAUUUAGCAUUUCCUUCCAUUCUGACUGCAGCCAGCAAAGGAUUAGCCUGAAAAGCAGUCUAUAAAUUUCACCAGACUGUCCAAGUCCAAGUCUAUGACAUUCAGAAAAAGUUUACUACUCAUGAGCCUCCAUGGGGCCCAGCUUCAGACUGCUUUUCCUUUCAUUUAUUUCCUUUCAUUUAUAUAUUUAUAUAGACAAGUCCCUUUUUUUUGGUUUUAUUAUUUCCUAAACAACUAAGUUAGCAUGCAGAGGAGGGAGCGACUCCGACACUUAAGCUGUACAAAAUGGAUUUCGGUUUUGUUUAAGCUGAUUCUUGUCUGGUCAUCCUAACUGCAGGCAGAAAACGCUCAGAUAGUGGGAGAGAGAAUUACAGCAAUUGUACAAGCUUAGGAAACCUGCACGGGAACCAAGGAUUAAGCAUCAGAACAAAUUAAAAACUCUAAAGACGAUGAGGAAGAGGUAUAUUCAAGUCUCUUGUGAACAGUUAUUUAAUAAAACAAACACUGGUCUUGAAAUGUGACAGCGUUCCGUUUGCCACAGUUCUUUCUCCAAUGACUCUUGGCUGGCACGGAAGCGAUUUGAGAGAGCUCUGAUUUUGUGGAAAUGCAGAAUCCUGGGAUAAACAAAGGAACCGUCUAACAAGUGGCCACUUCAGCCUCUCACCAUCAGCAAACUCUGGGAUCUGCUUGGAGGCCGCUUUCGAUGUCACUUGUCUAAUUCCAGCAAGGACAAAAUGUCAUGGAACCAUGCAAUUGUGCAAAGCUCAGGGCUGUCCUUUGGCCAGAUCUCUCUCUCUCUCUCUCUCUCUCUCUCUCUCUCUCUCACACACACACACACAUAUACAGACACACAUACAUGCACACACACCUCUCCUCUAGCAUUUUAAACCAAGCAAAGACUAGACACAUGCCACAAAAUGUCAGCACAACAGCUCAGCAGGGUCAGGCAGGAUUCUAGAAAAUGGCCUCCAGAAAACGGACGAGCCGGCAUCAUGGCUUUUUCAAAAUAUUUUCAUUUUUAAGUAAAAGGAAUCUCUUUGUUGUAAAGGGCUUGGGGAUCUUCAGCCCCAUAGACAGCUAAUGAAACUUUAAACACUACUUUUCCCAGCAGAAGCCCACAUACCCUCCUGCAUCAAACUGUGCAGAAGGGGAGAAGAGCAACAAAGACGGCGUGCUUGAGGCUCCGGGAUAUCUCACUUUGGGCCAGCCCGGCUUGAAGAUACUUGGGAACCGGGAUGUCAUGCGGUCAACUACAUGAAGCUCAUCUUAAAGAACGGGCCUUCUUAUUCUGGCUCCAUGGAGCCUUAAUAUGUCCAUGGAGAGAUUUCAGGGCAUCCACAUACUUGGAAGGAAUAAAAGACCUUUUUCUCCACCUUCUUCGGUUCUCUUUGUUCCUUUGUAUUUUAUGUUUUAGACUUAACAAUAAUAUUUGGAGAAGAGAUCCAGAGGUUUCACCAGCUUGCCAAAGGGAGCCACGGCACACAAAAAGGCCCAAGAACCCAAGGAUGUGACCUUCAGAAAGGUCACGAGUGCUAAGCCAGUUUGGCCAUAACCUAUUCGGUAUCCUUAGAAAUGUUGUUAUUUCUCAGUUGACUCACAGGGGGUAUAAGAGUUAGAUUCAAGGAACAGAAAUGUAGCCAAAACCACUGUCAGUUAAUUGCAGGGUUUAUUGAUAAUUUUACAUAUUGCCUGACUCCAUAUUUGUGUUUAUGAGAAAGGUUCAACAUAUGUGCUUUCCACCUCACUACCUGGCUUGGUCCCCACCAUGUCCUCAGCAGCUCCUUUGCACUAUUAACUAUCAGCUCAGUUCAGAGCAUUGUCUAGUUAUAACUGUUGGGGAUGUUGGGGAGCCAUGGCAUUUUGUACCAAUGUGGACAUUUAGAACUAACUGCUCCGAUCCAGGAUGAGCAAAUCCAGCUGGUACAGCAGUGACAAGCAAUCACCUUUCAAGGAAGAACCUGAGGGGCAGCUGGGUGGUACAGUGGCUAGAGCAUUGACCCUGGAGUCAGGAGGACCCGAGUUCAAAUAUGACCUCAGAGACUUGACAUUUAACUAGAUAUGUGACUAUGGGCAAGUCAGUUAACCCUGAUUCACACACAUACACAUAAACACGUGAUAAAAAACAAUUAAUUCAUCAAAUUAACUACACAGAACUACUAAAUUAACUGACAGAUUUUGUUCAUGUGUUGUGUG